AGCGUCGUGUGCGCGAUGGGGCGGCGGGGUAACCCAGCCGUGGAGAGCACACGAGUGAGAAUGCAGGCAUGAGUAGCGAAUGAGGAGUGAGAAACUCCUCCACCGAAAGACCAAGGGUUCCAGGGUCAGCUAAUCUGCCCUGGGUAAGUCGGGACCUAAGGCGAGGCCGACAGGCGUAGUCGAUGGACAACGGGUUGAUAUUCCCGUACCGGCGCUAGCACGUCCCUGCCGAGGCGAGCGAUGCUAAGCACGCAAGGCUUGAGGAGACCUUCGGGUCGAUUCUUGCUGAGUCUGCGAUCCAGACUUGUAUUAGGCAAGCUGCGGAGUGACGCAGGAAGGUAGCCCAUCCCGGGCGAUGGUUGUCCCGGGUUAAUUGUGUAGGGCGAGGUGUAGGCAAAUCCGCACCUCAUCAGCCUGAGACAAGAAGACUAGGUCGUCAUUUCGACGGCGAGAGUGGGUAAUCCUAUGCUGCCUAGAAAAUCUUCGUGAGCGAGUUCUAGAGCCGCCCGUACCCUAAACCGACUCAGGUGGUCAGGUAGAGAAUACCAAGGUGAUCGAGAUAACCGUGGUUAAGGAACUCGGCAAAAUGCCCCCGUAACUUCGGGAGAAGGGGGGCCUACGCUGUGAAGGGACAUACGUGCCCGGAGCAGCCGCGGCCGCAGGGACCAGGCCCAAGCUACUGUUUACUAAAAACACAGGUCCGUGCUAAGUCGCAAGACGCUGUAUACGGACUGACGCCUGCCCGGUGCUGGAACGUUAAGGGGAAGUGUUAGGGGUAACUCGAAGCACUGAACUUAAGCGCCAGUAAACGGCGGUGGUAACUAUAACCAUCCUAAGGUAGCGAAAUUCCUUGUCGGGUAAGUUCCGACCUGCACGAAUGGCGUAACGACUUGGGCGCUGUCUCGACCACGGACUCGGCGAAAUUGCACUACGAGUAAAGAUGCUCGUUACGCGCAGCAGGACGGAAAGACCCCGGGACCUUUACUAUAGUUUGGUAUUGGUGUUCGGUACAGCUUGUGUAGGAUAGGUGGGAGACUUUGAAGCGGCCACGCCAGUGGUUGUGGAGUCAACGUUGAAAUACCACUCUGGCUGUUCUGGAUAUCUAACCUAGGUCCGUUAUCCGGAUCAGGGACAGUGCCUGAUGGGUAGUUUGACUGGGGCGGUCGCCUCCCAAAAGGUAACGGAGGCGCCCAAAGGUUCCCUCAGCCUGGUUGGCAAUCAGGUUUUGAGUGUAAGUGCACAAGGGAGCUUGACUGUGAGAGAGACAUCUCGAACAGGGACGAAAGUCGGGACUAGUGAUCUGACGGUGGCACGUGGAAGCGCCGUCACUCAACGGAUAAAAGGUACCCCGGGGAUAACAGGCUGAUCUUGCCCGAGCGUCCAUAGCGACGGCAUGGUUUGGCACCUCGAUGUCGGCUCGUCGCAUCCUGGGGCUGGAGUCGGUCCCAAGGGUUGGGCUGUUCGCCCAUUAAAGCGGCACGCGAGCUGGGUUUAGAACGUCGUGAGACAGUUCGGUCCCUAUCCGCUGCGCGCGUAGGAGUCUUGAGGAGGGCUGUCCUUAGUAUG
rnacentral:rRNA from 1 species